rnacentral:miRNA from 2 species
UGAAUCCUUCGGCUAUCCAUAA